rnacentral:tRNA from 1 species
GAAAUGGUAGUUCGGUGGUAGAAUUCUUGCCUUCUAUACGGGAGACCCAGGUUUGAUUCCUGGCCAGUGCA